AGUGAACGCUGGCGGUAGGCCUAACACAUGCAAGUCGAACGGCAGCACAGUAAGAGCUUGCUCUUACGGGUGGCGAGUGGCGGACGGGUGAGGAAUACAUCGGAAUCUACUUUUUCGUGGGGGAUAACGUAGGGAAACUUACGCUAAUACCGCAUACGACCUACGGGUGAAAGCAGGGGAUCCUCGGACCUUGCGCGAUUGAAUGAGCCGAUGUCGGAUUAGCUAGUUGGCGGGGUAAAGGCCCACCAAGGCGACGAUCCGUAGCUGGUCUGAGAGGAUGAUCAGCCACACUGGAACUGAGACACGGCCCAGACUCCUACGGGAGGCAGCAGUGGGGAAUAUUGGACAAUGGGCGCAAGCCUGAUCCAGCCAUACCGCGUGGGUGAAGAAGGCCUUCGGGUUGUAAAGCCCUUUUGUUGGGAAAGAAAAGCAGCAGGUUAAUACCCCGCUGUCCUGACGGUACCCAAAGAAUAAGCACCGGCUAACUUCGU
rnacentral:rRNA from 1 species